ACCUGGGUGGCUCAGCCAGUUAAGUGCCUGACUUCAGCUCAGGUCGUGAUCUCGCAGUCCGUGGGUUCGAGCCCCAUUUUGGGCU
rnacentral:tRNA from 1 species